rnacentral:rRNA from 1 species
GAUGAACGCUGGCGGCGUGCUUAACACAUGCAAGUCGAACGAAGCACUUUAUUUGAUUUCCUUCGGGACUGAUUAUUUUGUGACUGAGUGGCGGACGGGUGAGUAACGCGUGGGUAACCUGCCUUGUACAGGGGGAUAACAGUUGGAAACGGCUGCUAAUACCGCAUAAGCGCACAGCAUCGCAUUAUGCAGUUGGAAAAACUCCGGUGGUAUAAGAUGGACCCGCGUUGGAUUAGCUAGUUGGUGAGGUAACGGCCCACCAAGGCGACGAUCCAUAGCCGACCUGAGAGGGUGACCGGCCACAUUGGGACUGAGACACGGCCCAAACUCCUACGGGAGGCAGCAGUGGGGAAUAUUGCACAAUGGGCGAAAGCCUGAUGCAGCGACGCCGCGUGAGCGAAGAAGUAUUUCGGUAUGUAAAGCUCUAUCAGCAGGGAAGAUAAUGACGGUACCUGACUAAGAAGCACCGGCUAAAUACGUG